GACGAACGCUGGCGGCGUGCUUAACACAUGCAAGUCGAACGAAGUGGCGAACGGGUGAGUAACGCGUAAUCAACCUGCCCAUCAGAGGGGGACAACAGUUGGAAACGACUGCUAAUACUGCAAACUGAAGGUGGGGAUUGCGUCUGAUUAGCUAGUUGGAGGGGUAACGGCCAACCAAGGCGAUGAUCAGUAGCCGGUCUGGGAGGAUGAACGGCCACAUUGGGACUGGAACACGGCCCAAACUCCUUCGGGGAGCAAGAGUGGGGGAUCUUCCGCAAUGGGCGAAAAUCUUGCGGAGCAACGCCGCGUGGUUGAUAGCGGCCUUCGGGUUGUAAAGCUCUGUUUAUCGGGACGCGGUACCGGAAUAGAAAGCCACGGCUAACUACGUGCCAGCAGCCGCGGUAAUAC
rnacentral:rRNA from 1 species